CAACAGAGUGAGACUCUGGCUCAAAACAAAAAGACAGUGACAUUCAAUGGAACUAAUACACAUAGAACACAAAAUUAUAGGUCCUAACUAUAGUAGUGGUAUAUAUGUACAUGGUAAUGAUUAAGUCAAACAUGGAUUAUGAAAGACUCACUUUAAAAGUACAGUCUUAUGGUGCUUAAAUUUGCCUUUUUGUUUUUAAACCACUUUAUCAAAGUGUAAUUGACAAAAGCUGUUACUUAAUGUAUACAACUUAAUAAGUUUUGAGAUAAGGAUAAGCCCAGGAAACCAUCACCACCACCAUCUGUGCCACAAACAUUCAUUCUCUCCAAAAUUUCCUUCCCUCA
rnacentral:lncRNA from 1 species